rnacentral:rRNA from 1 species
UCGACAACCUGGUUGAUCCUGCCAGAAUCAUAUGCUUACCCCGACGCUUAAGCCAUGCAUGCCUCAGAAGCCGGUAGCUACUAUAUCUCUUAAAUCUGCGACAGGCUCCGUAUAUCUGUUAUUACCAUUGGCCCGGGGUACCAGGGAGGAUAUCCCUGGUAAUUCUCGGGCUAAUACAUGGAUUCAGCUGGGGUUGCUUGUGAGUCAGUCAUUGACCCUUGUGGCUUUGGGCUUCCAUAGCUGUACCACGCCCCCUUUGCGGGGGGAUCACGUGAGAGCCUGGAAGUGACCCUACCGCGGUUCAUUCGGCGGUGGGGGUCCUGGAUACCAGACCUAUCAACCAGGGCAUUUGGGCUUGUCCCGUGCCGGUAAUAACGGGUACAGAGGAUCAGGGUUUGGUCCUGGAGAGGUAGCCUUAGAGAUAGCUACCACUUCUAAGGAAGGCAGCAGGCGCGCAACGUUCCCAAUGAUGACAUAUUGAGGACGUGAAGGGGAAUAGCAAUGCAGCCCCCUAAGACGGGGCGGCAAUUGAAAUGGGGGAGACUUAGAUACCCCACUGAGUAACAAUUGGAGGACAAGUCUGGAUAGGGGGGAUCGGGGCAGGCCAAAUGGCGGGGCUAGUGGUGAAAUCCGUUGACCCUUGUCAGUUGAACUAAAGCGAAAGCAGCCUGCCAGUACCCUUUCUUUGAUCAAGAACGAAAGUCUGGGGAUCGAAGAUGAUCAGAUACCAUCGUAGUCCAGACCCUAAAUGAUGCCGAUCAUGGACGGAGUGGCGUCCGUUCCGACCCAUCCCGGAUGUUGUGGGAAACCACGAAUGUCUGGGCUCUGGGGGGAGUAUGAUCGCAAGAUUGAAACUUAAAGGAAUUGACGGAACAGCACACAAGGAGUGGAGCCUGCGGCUUAAUUUGACUCAACACGGGGAAACUUACUAGGGCAAGAAGGGGGCAGGAGGGUCAGCCUAGCAGGGCUUUCCCGAUUCCCCUAGUGGUGGUGCAUGGUCGUUCUUAGUUCGUGGAGUGAUUUGUCUGGUCUAUUCCGCUAACGAACGAGAACCCGCUCUCCCAUGUUAGAGCCAGGGCCUGCUGGCCGGGGUCCCAGUCCGCAAGGGCUGGGGUUCCACCUCGGCUGGCUUAAAAUGGGCUCUGUGUCUCGAGCUUGGGGAACCAGCUUCGACAAGGGGCUGGGAGCGGGUCAAUAACAGGUCAGUGAUGCCCUUAGAUGCUCUAAGCCGCACGCGCGCUACAAUGGGGAGAGUUAGAGGGCUGCCAGCGCUGAAAGGCUGCGGGUAAUCUUCAAAAGCUUCCCCCAUCUGGGAUAGGGGUGUGCAACGCGCCCCUUGAACAAGGAAUUUCUAGUAGGCACGGGUCACCACCCCGUGCCGAUUCUGUCCCUGCUGUUUGUACACACCGCCCGUCGCUCCUACCGAUUGGGCCGUGAGGUGAAGUGGGUGGAUCCCGGCUGAGAAACAGCAAACCUGGAGGGGGGGGUUAAAGUGGUGCGUGUCAGCGCACUCCCCCCCGGAUGGGUGGGAAAAGCCCAAUGAAUUUCGCGGUCUAGAGGAAGGAGAAGUCGUAACAAGGUAUCCGUAGGUGAACCUGCAGAAGGAUCAAGCUUGGAUCCCGGG